AACCCCAUCCAUCAUUCAAUCCCAAGUAAACCAGCAAGAAAUCCGCAACUAUCUAUGGAAACCUUGUAUCUCUACCUUCCACUUUUCCUAGCAUUAUACAUCUUCACCAAGCACUUCCUCAACAAAAUCCGAAACCUUCCACCUAGUCCCAUCCUUAAUCUCCCCGUCCUCGGCCACCUCCUCCUCAUCAAGAAGCCUCUUCACCGAGGCCUAGCCAAGAUUUCCGACCGUCAUGGCCCGGUCCUCCUCCUGGAAUUCGGCUCACGCCCAGUCCUCCUUGUCUCCUCCGCUUCUGCAGCCGAAGAAUGCCUCAACAAGCACGACAUCGUUUUCGCCAACCGCCCGCGUCUGCUGGCUGGAAAACAUCUGGGAUACAAUUAUACCUCAAUGGCAUGGACGUCCUACGGGGAUCACUGGAGAAAUCUACGGCGGAUAGCUUCACUGGAGAUCUUGUCUUCCCACAGGCUUCAAACGCUUCACGGGAUACGUGUUGAUGAAGUAAAAUUGAUGCUGAAAAGGCUGUUUUCAGCUUCAGAAAACAAGAAAAGCGUGGAUAUGAGGGCCCUUUUCUUUGAGCUGAUGUUGAACGUGAUGAUGAGGAUGAUUGCUGGGAAGAGGUAUUAUGGGGAGAAUGUUGGGGAAGUUGAGGAGGCUAGGAGGUUUAGGGAGAUUGUAGAGGAGACGAUGAUAAUUGGUGGAGCUUCGAAUAUGGGAGAUUUCUGGCCGGUUUUGAGGUGGUUAAAAGUGGGAAAGAAGGAGAAGGCCUUGAGGGUUUUGCAGGAGAAUAGGGAUCAAUUCGUGCAGGAGUUGAUCAAGGGGUUUAGGAGUGCAAAAGAUGCAGAAAAUGGUGGCGGCGAUGCAGAGGAAACAGGGGAAAAGAAGAAAACGUUGAUUGAAGUUUUGUUGACCCUGCAACAGAAGGAGCCUGAGUAUUACAAGGAUGAAAUCAUUAGAAGCCUUAUGCUGGUAUGGUUACUCUGAUAAAUUUCUUUCUGGCUCUUCUUCUUCUUAUUAAUGUAGCUAAUUUGUUAUCAUUUCUAUGUUCCCUAGAAAAUGUCAAACUUCGAUUAAGGACAAAUUAAUAGAAAUUGAAAGUAAUUCGAAGAUUAAGUGACUAAAUCUAGAUGGCCAAAAUUUGCUUUCUUUGAGUAUAAAAUAUAAGCUUACUUCAGUUGUCGUACAGUAAUUCGAUUGCUUCCAUUAUUGUGCAAAGUUAUGAUGAAUAAGAAAAAUUCACUGGUACAGUUCAAGAAUAGAGUUGACCGCACGGUGUGAACAGGAGUAGAUCCCAACGUAUUGGGCGGGGGGCCCACUUUUCUUCGGUGUUGGCAUUUGACAGUGAAGCAGAAAGAAAGUAUGAUGUCUAGCCAACCGAUGUCUAAAGUUGGUUGACUAGAUUUUAGAAGCAAAUGUCACUGAUCAUGCUCUUCAUUCUACCGUUUACCACUUUCUUCUUCUUUUCUCAAGUGCAUUUCACCAUUGACCGCUUUCGUAUUGCAGGUUUUACUAGCAGCAGGUACCGAUACAUCAGUGGGAACAAUGGAGUGGGCAUUGUCACUAAUGCUAAACAAUCCAUCAACUUUGGAGAAGGCAAAAGCAGAAAUUGACAGAAUCAUAGGAAAAGAACGUUUAUUAGAUGAAUCAGAUGUGGCUAAUCUACCCUAUCUCCGGUGCAUAAUUAGUGAAACAUUGAGGAUGUUUCCAGCAGGGCCUAUAAUGCUACCCCACGAAUCCUCCGAGGAAUGUGUGGUUGGGGGUUACCGUGUGCCUGGGGGGACAAUGUUGAUUGUCAAUUUGUGGGCUAUCCAAAAUGAUUCCAAGAAUUGGGAGGAUCCAAGAAAAUUCAAGCCUGAAAGAUUUGAAGGGCUUGAAGGGACCAGAGAUGGCUACAAAUUAAUGCCAUUUGGUUCUGGUAGAAGAGGUUGUCCUGGGGAGGGAUUGGCCAUGCGCAUGGUUGGAUUUGCUUUGGGAUCAAUUAUUCAGUGCUUUGAUUGGAGCAGAAUCAGUGAGGAGAUGGUAGAUUUGGCUGAGGGGCCUGGACUGACUCUGCCUAAGGCUCAACACUUAGUCGCCAAUUGUCGAGCACGACCUGGAAUCAUGAGCCUUCUUUCUCAAAUUUAGACUGCGACGAGGAUGUAUCUUGACUCUUGAGAAAGGGUGGGCAGUAUUUGCCUCGUCUCUUCUUCUUGUUUGAAGAAAAAAUAUGUACUAGUAAAAAAAAAAAAGUCUUGUUUUAUAUAUUUCACUUGUUUCUUUAAGGGAAAAAAUGACGGAGUAAUUUACUUUAUAGUAGUUGCUAUUUGAUGACGCUAAUUUUUGAAUUUCCUUGUUUUAAGUUGGAAUUUUCACAGCACAAUAAUUAUACCUUGCAACUCCUAACUGAAAACAACUCAAACCAUAUAUUUAUUCAUUCUCCUAAUGUCCACACUAAGCAAUAUCUUAGUUGGCAACUUCUUGAUCCGAAAGUUUUCUUUAGUGUUGAUAAUCAAUGAGAGAUAAAAAAAAAUGAGUAUCUAAAAAUAUAAAGGUCUAUCUAUUUGGACAACCGUUCUUAAGACAUAUUUCAGAUAAAAAAAUACAAGAUUAAUUAGAAUAAAUAAAUAUAAAGAGGGGCAGGAAAGAUUAAAUAGACAAACAUAUAUAAGUACAAGGAAGGAUAAUAAUUGUAGUAAAUGUGUGUGUAUAUAUAUAUAUAUAAUAAAUUAGAUAAAUUUUAAAUGUAUUAACGAGUGUCUAGUAAACACCCGAAAAAAUCCAAAAUAUGACGAUUUUUUUCCGUAAGAAAACUCGAAUAUGAGACGUCUCAGUUGCACUUCGUCCCUAGAAACGCCCAACCAAUAUCCCUUCCCUUCUAAAGGCCGCUGCCGCUAGUGCUGAUGACCAGGGCAUGGUCGAUAUGAAAUCAGCCUUCUUCGAACUCACACUGAACAUUAUGAUUAGGAUGAUUGCUGGAAAACGGUAUUCUGGUGAUGGCUCAGGAAAAAUAGGGGGAGUCGCGAGCUUUCAAGAGAUGGUUAAAGAGAGUGUUAAAGUCAGCGGAUCAACAAAUGCUGCAGAUUUUGUUCCGCUACUGAGGUGGAUAGGGCAAAAUAAGCUUGAAAGUCAUCUGAAAACGUUGCAGAUGAAGAGGGAAAAGUUCCUACAAGAUUUGAUUGAAAAGCACGGAAGCAUCACCAGUCAUCGUGAGAACAAGACACUGAUUGAUGUUCUCUUAUCUCACCCAGAGACAGAACCAGAGUACCAUACGGAUCAAAUCAUCAGAGGCUUGGUUCAGGUGAGUCAAGUUUUAAGGAGAAUAGUAGAUCGGUCCCUCGAAAGUGCCAACAUUCCAUAAAAUCAAGUAUAUUAACAACCUAAGAGAAUCCACCUCAAGCGCUAGCUAGCUGUCAUACUUGAAGGGUAGGAUCAUAAGUUCAUAGCAUUAACUUCCCUGCUUUUUCAGCUUUUAACAAUCAGUCAAGAUAACUCAAAAGCAUGUAUCAUGUGUUAUCCGGUAUUGAUAGAGAUAAUAAAUCAAAUUUCGUCUAAUCUUAAUAGCUGAUAAUGUUAUCGGCGGGAAGUGACGCAACAUCUGGAACUAUGGAAUGGGCACUGUCAGUUCUGCGGAACAACCCAGAGGCUUUAAAGAAAGCACAAGAAGAAAUAGACUUUCAAAUAGGCCAAUCAAGGCUGAUAACUGACUCCGACCUUGGCCAGCUUCCUUACCUUCAAGCAAUAAUAAACGAAACCUUUCGUAUGUAUCCUGUGUCCCCUUUUAUCUCCCUGCAUGAAUCAUCCGAAGAAUGUACAGUUGAAGGCUUUGGUAUCCCUCGUGGGACAUUGCUCCUAGUGAACCUUUGGGCUAUUAAUUAUGAUCCUGAAAUAUGGGAAGAACCCACAAAAUUCAAACCUGAAAGGUUCAUGAACUUGGAAGAUCAGAGAUAGAGAUUCGAGUUUAUGCCAUUCGGGCUUGGCCGAAGAGGAUGUCCUGGAGAAAAUUUUGCUCGACGAGUUGUGGGGUUGGCAUUGGGUUCACUUAUUCAAUGCUUUGAGUGGGAAAGACCUGGGGAAGAAUUGGUGGACAUGAGUGAAGGAGCUGGGCAUACUAUGCCUAGAGCUCAACCGCUGCUGGCAAAGUAUAGGCCACCCCCUGAAAUGGUUAAGCUUCUUUGAGUUGUGAUCUGAGUGUUUGACAAUGUUUUCUUCCUACAACACCUAGACGACUGUGGAGAAACAAGUGAACAAGAAAACAGAGGAUGUCUCUCUGUACGUGUUUGUUUUAACUUUUAAUACUACUAUUUUAUCUCUUUCAACUUCGCUUUGUGUUGCUGCAAGAAAGUAUAAAAAAGCAAAGGGUUUACUCUAGUUUCUUGCUUUCUCCAAAGAUCCAGCAUUUUCAUGUGUGUUUCUAUUAUUUGUUAACCAAUGGUUCAGAAUUCAAUCGACGGAGAAGCAAAAUUUUGCCAAGCAUGAGAAAUUCCCAAAAUUCUGAUCAAAUUUAAAUUAUUUGUAAGAUGCUUUUGGUUGCAUGUUGUACUUUAGAGGGUCCUCACGUUCUGUAAUUUAGAGCUUUCUUGCAUUCUAUAACUGCGAGGUAAGGUAAGCAAAAUUUAAAUUGCCCCCAGGGCAUAUGGCGUAGCGGUUGAGGGGUCGGUCUUGAGUUGUUGACUUCUUCACUGAUUGGGGUUCGAUUUGUACCCGCUACGCUGCACAUCCUGACUCACCCGGGAAAACUGUAUGGAGCUAUCGGCUUCCCUCCAAUUUGGUAUGCCGGCUCGGGUCCAAAGGGUUCGGAUCGGGGCAUGUUCCGAAUUACCAAAAAAAAACUUAAAUUUUGAUCAAGUUUAUCUGCUUUGGAAAAACCCCAUUCAACAGGAGGUUGCCCACUGCAAAAAAGCACCCCUAUUGUACAAUUUUUCAAACAUCAUCAAAAUCUUGUUUUUGAGGUUUCAAAGCCGCUAAAUUGAACAUUAGCUCUGAAUCGGAUAAUUAUGUUCAAUGGUGAUGUUUUGCUGAUAAUUACUCUUUAGUUAGUCCAGUGCGCAUGUACGCAUAGUCCAUUCGAUGCCCGUGGGAAACAGGUGUUACAAGGUCCAUGCAUUUUUCAACCAAAGAUAAGUCAAAGAGCGAAUUGCGCGAAAUGUCACUAAACUAUUUCAAAGUGCCGGUUCUGAUCAUUAAACUUUUUUAUUAGCGCGAAAUGUCACUGAACUAGUAAAUCUAUACCGUUUUGGUCACUCCGUGUAUUUGUGCCGUUAGGAGAGACGGAAAUUAACUUUUUGAGGGGUAAUUUCGUCUACACAAUAGUUAAAAAAUUUAUGCCUUCAUUCUUCUUCACCCACAACCAUAGUGCUAUACCAUAUUUACAUUCCCAGCCUUCCCGUACGCAUCAAUCAUCACAGAAUAGGUAACCUCAUCCGGUUCACACCCAAAAGACGGCAUUUUUUCGAACCACUGGACGGCUUUCUCAGGUAAAGAAGACAGCCUGGCGCAGCUAAUUAUGGUGGAAAGGAGGAGUAUUGGACCAGCAAUCAAAGAAUCAAGAGAUGAAUUCGCUGAAGAAGGGUUCUUUUCGUCCUCUGGGGCUGCUGCUUGGCCUUGUACCUGUCCCAUAUCUCAUCGAGAUUGGAUGCUACGGAGAUGAAGUAAGAGGAAAAGGCAACAGCAGCAACCAAAAAAUUGGGAUGGACGAGAAUUUUGAAGUUGGAGUUGGGGUUGGGUGCUAUCUGCAACCCAUGUAAAGUUGUGGAGUGAUUUGCGAUUAAUCUGUUAAAUGUUAUUGUGCCAACUGCCAACAGAAUUGGAAUGGACAUCAAAGUCCAGUGUAGGCCGACGACGGACGGAGCUCUCUAUGCCCACCCACUUCUGCAACAAAACCACCGAACUUUACAUUUAAUUUCUCAUUCUUUUCACUCUUUCCGCAUCGUCAUUUUCGCCACUCCCAACCCCAGAGGUAUGUAAAGGUGACAUUAUCGGGCUUAACUCCUCUCUCAAUCAUAUCCGUAAACAAUUUCUCGGCUCUGUCCAAGUCUCUACAUUUUCUAAACACCUUGAAGGUAACAUUAUACAAAAUCACUUCUUUCUUCAACUUAAGCCUUUCCAGAAAGUAACUCAGCACCAAAGGCGCAGUUUCAGAGUUGGACAUGUUAUUGAGCACAACGGCAGCAUCUUGCUCUACAACUUUGCCACCCAAAUUAGCCAAAAUACUAAUAACGUCAGCUUCUACAGGGUCACACGAGUCCAAUUGUUGGGAAGCUUGGACUAAAGAAGCAUACCUGAAAUCGUAGGAAUUGCGCCUGAGCUUUGAUGCCCUGGAGCUGUUGGGGUUGACCCAGAUAUAGCUUUUUGAGGAAGAAGAGAUGGUUUUAGCAUCUGGGCGGUGAGGAAUUUGGGAAAUUGAGGGGGAUUGUUGUUGGGAAGCCGGUAUAGAGAGGGAAGGUUUUGGAUGGGGCUUGAGAGGAGGAAAAGCGAGGGCGUUAUGGGGGAUGAUUCUGAGUUGGUGGAGGUGAGUGGGAUAAAGAGAGUUACAGAAGAGGUGUGGGUGGCGAGAGAGAUGAGACGGCGAAUAGGCGGCGGCCACCAUUCUUCUCUCUACUCUUCUUCCUUCCUUCUCAGUCGUCACUCACUCAGCAGAGCAGUCAGCAGCAUUUGAAUUUUCUUCUUUUUUACAACUAUGAAAAAUUUCGCCUGCAUUUUUUGGUUGAAGUUUGAUGGUGCCGCCAUUCAGAUCAGCCAUCUCCUUUAUGUCUUUGCCGGAUACGGAACCAUUGAUUAUGUAAAAGCUUCAAGAAAAAGGCUGUGCUGACAAAUUUGCCCCUCAAAAAGUUGAUUUCCGUCUCUCCUAACGGCACAAAUACACGGAGUGACUAAAACGGUAUAGAUUUACUAGUUCAGUGACAUUUCGCGCUAAUAAAAAAGUUUAGUGACCAGAACCGGCACUUUGAAAUAGCUUAGUGACAUUUCGCGCAAUUCGCUCUAAGUCAAAAAAAUAUUUGUCUGCGGAGCGGAACUCCAUUUUCAUAUAAAAAAAAAUGCUGAAAGUCGCCAUAUCUGUUUCAGUACUACCACUCUACCAGUUCCAUCUGACAGCUCACGACCGCAAGGGGGGGAAAAAAGACAAAUAAAAACAAGGAUCUAUGUCAAUCGCAUGUUAUAUGAAAUCUUAACACAAGAUUUAAGAUUGCAAGAUAUCAGCUGAUACAAGGUGGCCUAAGCUGAAGGCGUCUUGCUCCCUAGAAGCUAUAUCACUGAAACAGCAGGGAAUUGUUUAGAAUAUUACAUUGGAUAAGCAUUUUUUUUUUUUUUUGGUAAAUAAAGAUGCAUUAAAAAUAAAUCAAGUCAACAGAGUGCAAAUUAAGGUACAGUCAUCCGUGGGGUGGAAACCCCCUUUAAGUCUUGCAAAAGUAAGGGAAGUACAAAAUUAGGACAUAAUUCAAAAAAAGUGAAGUCUUGAGUGUUGCUUCUUCCCCAGUUGGCAAGGAUGUCUGCACAUUUGUUUGCUUCUCUAUAAUUAUGGUGAAAACAUACUUUCUGGAAUGUAGUCAAUAGCUCCCUGCAAUCAAGAAUAAUAGGUGCAAGUUCAUGAGAAAUAAGAUUAUUUGACUUACACAAGGAGAAUAUAAAGGCAGAGUCCAUCUCCACUUCGAGAGAGUGGAUGUUGAGUUUUUUUGCAAGUUGUAAGCCUUCUCUAAGAGCCCAACAUUCAGCAGAAGGAACUGAACAGAAGCCUAAAUUUCUUGCAAAGCCCGCAAUCCAUAUCCCAUUUGAGUCACGAAUAAUGCCGCCAGCUCCUGCCUGGUUUGUUGGUCCAGAGACUGAACCAUCAGUGUUGAGCUUGGCGAAACCUAUAGCAGGGGGGAUCCAUCUGAUGAAUUUUUCUUGUCUAGGGGAUCUGGAGAAGUGAGAACCAGGCCCUAGUAGGCUUCUGUUCCAGAUGCACGCCUCCGAGCAAGGAUGUAAAUGAAUCUAACCAAACUGAACACCCUAGUAUUCAAGUUUAUUUGAUUAUUUUAACAAGUUUGUAAUUUUAUUCAAAUUUAAUUUAUUUAUUUAUCGAACCAAGUUUGUUUGAUUAUUUUACCGAAUUUGAACGAGCUAUUUAUUGAAGAGUGUGUUUGGAUAGGAGAUUAUUUGAAAUAUUAUUUAGAAUAAUUACUGUAGCACUUUUUGUAAUGUAAUGUAUGUAAAAUAAAAAGAUGAUUGAGAAGAUAAAAAGAUGUGUUGGAAAUUGUAUUUGUGAUGUAAGCAAAUAAUUUCUAGCCAUUAUUUGGCUAUCCAAACACACUGAAUAUAAAACGAUAUUCAAUCUUAAUUUGACUAGUUAGCAAAUCAAACUCGAAUGAACUCAAACCAAACUGAACUCGAUUCAAAUAUCAAGUAGAUUGAUUUAUCUUUCAACAUUUCGGAGUUGUUAUCCAUGUGUUUGAGAAUGUCAUCCUCCUGUAUUGUGUUUUGGUUUUUCAAGUCCCGAACGAUGUUUUUUUGUUGCAGCAAAGGAGGAAAGUUUUAGAGAGCUUAGGAUAUUACAAUAAAAUAGCAGUCAGGAGUAGCGAAGGAGGAAACAUAUGAUUCAGCCGAAAGGGGAACGAAAAGAAGAAGAAGAAGAAGAAGAAGAAGAGGAGAAGUUAUGGUUUUAAUUUAUUUGAAGAAUUGCCAUAUAUAUAUAUAUAUAUAUAUAUAUGUAUUUUAGGUAAAAGAAGAUUAUAUACUAGUAGUAGUUUGGAAAAAUAAGGAAUGCGAUCAUAAUAAGUAAAUGCAAAAAAGUUUGCCGUAAACUCCUUUGAGUGUUUGUAGUUGUCAAAGCUCUUUGUCAGGCUGCCCCCAGUGGUUCGAAAAUGUGCUGAGGACCUCUUUUGAACUAAUUUGUUACAUGGAUGGAAACCAUACGCACACCAAAAGAUUAGAAAUUUUCAUGCUAUCCCUUGUUUCUACAUUUAAUAAUAAUAAUAAAAAAAAGUGGAUGAGGCGUUGAUCUACAAAGUUGAGGUUUUAGAAUUUGGAGAUCUUGAAUUCAAUACUUAUCAAAGUGUGAGUCUCUAAACUUUGUGUUAGUAUUUAUCCCACCAUAUGUAUGUAGAUUAGUUGUAGUUCGAAAUAUUUGUAAUCUCUUAUAUUAGUCCUAUAGUUGUAGAUUAUACACGAUAUUAUCGAAGAAAAUAUUUAAAGAAGAAAAAAAAUGCAAUCUUAGUGCCCGAUAUGUAAAAUUGGUAACCACGAAACAAAUCUUGAUGAAUCCACGAAAUUCACCAUGAUCCCAAUAUAUGGGAAGAACCCACGAAAUUUAAGCCUGAAACGUUUGGGGGAUUCGUGUUUAUGGCAUUUGGGUAUGGUCAAAGAGCAUGUCUUGGUGAAAAUUUAGCUAGACAAGUUGUGAGGUUGGCAUUGGGCUCACUCAUUCAAUGCCUUAAUUGGGAAAGAAUUGGUGGAAAUGAGCGAAGGAGCUGGGUUUACUAUGCCAAGAGUUCAACCGCUGCUGGCAAAGUACAGGCCGCGCCCAGAAAUGGCUUCUUUCUGAGUUGUGAUCCUGGUGUUUUGGGAAUGUUCUUUGCCACCUGCACCACUGGGGAAUCGACUGUACGAGGAAAACAGAGGAUUUCCCACUGUAGUGCGUGCGUACCACGUUGGCUUACCACUACUUUUUAUAUUUUACCUUCACUUGGUCCAUAAUUUUUGCAGCUCAAGGAUGUGAAAAAGUCCGUGCCGUCCUGAUUCCAUUGUAAUGUAAGCUGGUCAAAGCUACAAGCCGGUUAUAUACGACGCUACUCCAAGAAAGGAGAAAAAUAUAAGCAAAGCAAGGAGGCCGUAAAGGAUGGAUAUCAGUAGCAGAUCAUUGACAGAUAAGAUACUAAUAUUCAAGAAUGAGAGGGCCGUAUCCCUUACGUCAAAGGAGUUUUGAAUCUUGAUUACUGAUACAUUCUUGAAAUAACAAUAAUGAAUUACUAGAUAAAAUAGGCAUACGGCAUAAGUAUCAUUCCAACACUUUGGAUUUAACCUCGAUCUCUAUGGAUGCUUCAUACUGCUACCUCCUGCUUUUUCCCUUCCUGUAUUUACUUACCAAUCAAAUCAUCAAAAAGUUCCGGAAUCUCCCACCAAGUCCACCUCUUUCCUUACCCAUAAUUGGCCAUCUUCAUCUCAUCCAGAAACCACUCCACCGAGGACUAGCUAAGAUCUCCGAUAAAUAUGGUCCAAUACAGUUUCUUCAUUUUGGUUCUCGGCCUGUCCUGCUUGUAUCUUCACCCUCAGCUGCAGAAGAAUGCUUCACCAAGAAUGACAUAAUCUUCGCUAAUCGGCCAAGAUUUCUCGCCGGAAAACACCUUGGCUACAACUAUACAACUCUGGGAUGGGUCUCAUAUGGCCAACACUGGCGCAACUUGAGAAGAAUAGCUACUGUGGAGAUCUUAUCUGCUACCCGAAUUCAAGCUUACACGAGCAUCCGUGUUAACGAGGUCCAUUCAUUGAUCAAGUACCUUCUAAUGGCCUCUAAAGCUAGUGACUCUAGCACGGUUGAGAUGAAAUCGGCCUUCUUUGGGCUGACACUUAACAUCAUGAUGAGGAUGAUUGCAGGAAAGCGAUACUACGGCGAUGAUGCCCAGAACAAGGAGGAAGCCGCAAGGUUCAAAGAGAUAGUUAAAGAGACUUUUCAACUCAGUGGGGCGACAAACAUAGCAGAUUAUAUUCCAUUAUUGAAGUUUUUUGGGCAACAGAAGCUUGAAAGCAAGCUGAAGACUUUGCAGGCGAAGAGGGAUCAAUUCUUGCAAGAUUUGAUUGAAGAACACAGAAGAACCGUGAGGAGUUCCGACAGUGAGAAGGGCAACAAAACAAUGAUAGACGUUCUCUUGUCCCUCCAACAGACCGAGUCCGAAUACUACACAGAUGAGAUCGUCAAAGGUAUGAUUGUGGUAAGUAACUAUUUAAUCCUCUCGAUAUCUUAAUCCAUCCGUCUGUUAAGCAUACAGAAAUUCUGAUCUUUGUCUGGGAUCAGUCCCAUGAAGGAUUGAGUCUGAAAAUCUAAGUCAAAGCUAGUUUGAUUGCACUAGUACCAUCUCCGUGUUGCCUUGCAUUUUUUAUUGAGCUGUAAUGCUAUGUUUCCUACACGUAACAAUUCUAGGGAUAAUUUCAGAAACCUCCCCUGAGAUUUCUAACAGUUUCACUGCCCUUCUCCGAGGUUUCUAAAAUAUCAGAAACCUCCCCUACUAGGUCAUUGGGGUCCAAUUGUCACAUCAAUCAUGGAAGAAUGACUUAAUUACCCAUACAACUUAAGAGGUAUUUCCCAAUUAUGUUCACAUGAUUAGUUAAACUGUUAUUAACUAGAUUUAACAGAAAUGAUGACAAUUUAUAAGUUUUUUUAAAAAAUUUCUAACAUGCCAUUACAAAAAGGGGGCCAUAUAUAGGCACCUUUCUAUGAUUGAUAAUUGAUGUAUGCGAGUAGAAGCAAUGAUUCAAACUUUAGUGUUUUUUGUGGAAUAAGAGAAAUAGAGCUUCUUUAGGUAUAUCUAAGGAUUUAGGAGAUUUGAAAAGGAGAUUUGCUCUUAAAUUUUUUUCAAAAUUUUGGUGAUUGUGAAAAUUUCAAGAUCAGCCUCUAAGAUUUUUCUGCUAUUAAAUUUUGGAAAUUUUUAUUAUUUGAUUGCAGUUGUUAAGGUAAUUCUUGAUGGUGAUGCUUAAUAGUGACCCUACAAGUGAAAAAGAAUAGUUUGGAUCAAACAAAAAAAGGAAAAUAUGAUUUUAUGUAGUUUGUAUUAUGUUCGGUAUGAUCUGCUCCAUUUGAUGAUUGGUAUUUAAUUAUAGUGUUUUUUCUUUUUUAUCCUAAUUAUUACUUUUAUUGUCAUCGAAAUUAGGUGCUGGUUUUGUAUGAAAUAUACGUAAAGAUUGUUGGUUGUAUGCUACUAAAUUGAAAAACCUUUUAAUUAUGACAAUUUUUUUCUUGUUUGUGAUUAUUCAACAAAUGUUUUUUUUUAAAUCGAAAUGUUGGUUGUAAUAGGAUUCACAUGCUUUGUUUCUCUUGUAGGAGAUUAUGCAAUUGAUGUGUUAUAAUAGAUGUAAUAGUAUGAUAUUACACAUGCAAUAUGUAGAUAAGAUUUUGAGUUGCUAAACUUGUUGUAGAGUUAGUAAAUUGAUAUUUUGUUUACGCUCUAUGAAUACGGUAACAAUUACACCGUCUCAAAUUUGAUAAAGUUAAAAUAGAUAUAUAUUGUUCGUAGGAAAUUAACUAUCUAAUGCAAAACUUGAGGGUAGUUAUGGAAUUUGACAGGUGCCGAACUUGUGCAAUAAUAAUUACUAAAAAGUCCUAAUUACCAUCACAAUUAAUUAUAGAACGAAUUCAAGUACUGGAGCAGGACCCUAGGUGAGCAAUGGGUUACUUGAUUCACCAUGUUCCCAAAGAGUUUGCUUGAUCCGAUAUACCAGAAUUGUCUAUAAAAAUACUAAGUUUGCAUACAAUGGCAAGUAGGGUCGAUUCCACAAGGAACGGGUAGGAAGUUGUUUCCUUCCAAGUCAAUAGAAUAAAAAAGAGGGACAAUUAAUGGGAUGAAACUAAAAAUAAAAUAAAUAAAAUUCAAGAGCUAACUCAACAACAAUUUAGUAAAAAUAGCAAUUAAUAAAAUUCUACCCAAAUGAUUAACUGCUCAGGCACGGUCCAAUUAAAUGAUCAUCGAUGCAAAGAUAUUUCAUUCAUCUGUCAUUAGGUUGGUUAUAGCUAUCAACAAGCUUUGACAACCAGUUCUUCCUUACUUUUUCGACAGUCAAGGUACGACCAUUGACUGUUUCUCUAACCAGAAAACAACUCUAGGUACGACCGUAAGAAUUUAAUUAUCCAAUUGGAUUAAAACUAGAAGAACCCAACCCUGAUCAAUAAGCACGCUAAGAGGGUUUAUUUAAAUCAGAUCUUACGUUUCUCCAACAUAAAGCCAAUUAUGGUGGUUGUUACUAGUUGUCAACUAAACGAAUAAUUACGGAUUCAAUUUAAUUAACGUGGCAGUAGGCUAUUAUGUUAAAUCAAAUACCCGACCGUUGAUAUCCAAUUAAUAAAAUACUCAUGAACAAUUAAUUCAGGAAACGUACGAAUAGCAAUAAGUUGGAAGAAAUAAUGAAAAUUCGAUUAGAUGUUACAGAUAUUAUGAACCGUGCUUUCGCGUCGACCUUCGGGUAGAGGAGAAAUCUAGCCGCUCCUUAUCAUAUCCAUCUCGCGUGAUUUAAUUGAAACCAUUCAAUUAAUUCCCGAAAAAUUGGGAAAGAUGAAACAACGAGGAAAACGAAUAAAAGGGCUUAAGUAUCUCUUGGUCUCUGUGUUUGUACUGGAGCAAGAAAGUAAAAGUAAAGCACUAGAGAAAGUCGGCUGCCAAAAGACAAGAGCCAAGCCGCCCGUAAGAAAUUGUCUAAUAGGAAGAGACAAAAGCUACAACUAUGAAGGUCGCGUGAUUCUGGCUUCUUAAUUGCUGCCGAAGAGAAAAAAAGGAAAAGAAAACGUCUGACACUAAAAAGCAAAAGCUAAUCUAAUUACAAAGACGUAAAUCUGGCUUUUUUCCUCUCUUUUGUAGCGGCGCCAGGAGAAAUCCACGAAAGGUCAGGAGCAAAGCUUUUCUUUUUGGGGUUUUAAUCCCAUGCCUCUCGUGGUUCACGUGGACCCAACCUCCUAAUUGCUCACUUUUUGCUGCCACCAAGCUCGCGGGUCCGGCUUUAGAUAUAUCUCCUCACUUUCUGGCGUGGCACGUCAUGAAACAAAGAGUCUUUUGGAAAUUUUUCUCGCGCGAUCACUUUUAACACCAAUCACCUACAAUUGAUACAAAUAUGAAAUAUGAGCAAAUUCUCAAUUCUUAGCAUCAUGAGUAGCCAAAAUUAGGACAGAAUAAUAGUGCAAAAUAUGCCCAAUAAUUGCUCUAUCAGAAUUAAAUUGUUUUCUCUCUUCUAAUACCAAUUUUAUAUUAUUUUUGUAUUUGAAUUGGGCUGAUUGUUACUAGCUAAUUAGCUUUAGGGGUGGUUUCCGAUAUUUUGAAAACCUCAGUGAGAUUGUCAAAAACCUCAGGGGAGGUUUCUGAAAUUAUCCCAUAAUUCUAUCUACGUCUAAUACUAUUUAUACUAAGAGGGUUGCUCACGAUAAAUGUUCUAACAUUAUCAUACACCUCCUCUUAUCCCUUCAUUUGUAUUUCUAUCUUAUUUACAGAAUCAAGAUAAUAGUAUAAAAAAUUCAAUCCCAUUGUACUAUUGAAUCAUGACGUGCAGGAAAAAAGGAAGAAGUAAAGAUAAAACGAAUGAGUAGCACAGUAUUCACCUUUAAUCCAUGCUUUAGACUAGCAGAAAAUAAUGCAAAUUUUGUCAACAGCAAAUGUUAUCAGCGGGAACCGACACAUCAUCCGGAACAAUGGAAUGGGCACUCUCCCUGCUGCUCAACAAUCCACAAGUUCUAAAGAAAGCCCAGCAAGAAAUUGACGCGUACGCUGGCCAAUCAAGGCUUAUCAAUGACUCGGACUUGGGUCAGCUGCCUUAUCUUCAUGCAAUUAUUAGUGAAACACUUCGCAUUUGCCCGGUGGCCCCUAUUCUGGUGCCUCAUGUGUCAUCCCAAGAGUGUUGUGUUGGAGGCUACAAUAUCCCCGGUGGCACGUUGCUGUUAGUGAACUUAUGGGCAAUGCAAAAUGAUCCCAAGGUUUGGGAAGAACCCACAAAAUUUAGGCCUGAGAGGUUUAUAAGUUUGGAAGGGCAAAGAGAUGGAUUUGUGUUCAUGCCAUUUGGGUUUGGCCGAAGGGGAUGUCCUGGCGAAAAUUUGGCCAUGAGCGUUGUGGGGUUGACAUUGGGGUUGCUUAUUCAAUGUUUUGAGUGGGAAAGAGUUGGGGAAGAGUUGGUGGAUAUGACUGAAGGGGCAGGGCUUACCAUGCCAAGGGCUAAAGAAUUGAUGGCCAAGUGUAAACCACGGCAAGAAAUGGUCAAACUUCUUUCUCAAUCGUGAUUGGGAUUUCAGAAGUUGGUACCUCUAAGAAAAAAACCCAUCGCAGUGAUGACAACAUUGUGAACAAAGUGUGCUUGUUUUGCCAUUAUUUUUGUGAUUCUAUACCUUCUUGUAUGUGGAAUAAAGGAUUUGAUUAAAAGUUUAAAAUACGGUUAGAGACACCUUAUUUUAAUUUAGUACGUUUUAUUGUAGGAAUAGAUGCAUAUGCAUACCUUUUUAUUUUGAUAGGUGAAAAUAAAACAACAAAAAAAAGACUUACAAAUAUGUUAGAUCUUCAAUGUUCAUGAAUAAAACUCUCUCUCUUUUUUUUUCACUUUUACUUCCUUUUGGAAAAGAAUUAAAACUCUUCUUUUUUUUUUUUACAGUUUUUUAUUUGUUCAUGAUGUGGGAGGUCUAUGUUCAUUUGAAAUCAAGAGCUCACCCCAACUUUUGUAGAAACUAGAGGGGAAGUUAGUGUAGUUUACCAACAAGAUACGUGUCUACUUACUUGAAUAACCAGUAAUAAGAUUUAAGGAAGAAAAACUUGGGCUACUCCAGUUAGCAAUGCCCAAGUAUCAAAAAAUGAAGAGCCCAAAUUCAUGUGAAAAUGUAUACAUGUUCUUGGUUAAUUUCACAAUAAACUUGUAAUCCUUUUUUUUGGCAAUUCAAAUUAAAUUCCAUUUUGCCUUUGGAUAUAACCAAGAGUUAUGUCCCUUUUAAUGAAUCUAGUAUAUUUUGGAGGGCUUUACUACUUCAAAUUUUUUUUUAAAAAUUUUAUCAGUAGUAAUCAUGAAAAAUAAAUCAUUUUCAACUAUGUAGUACUGAAAGAAACAUGCGACAGAAAAGAGUGGCAUCUCCAUAUAUUUUCUGAGCGUCAAAAUAAAAUUAUAAACUUUCUACCACUAACUCUUUUAUCUAAACCAUGCAAUUUUGCGUGCAUCAAAAUAGCGUAAUUAUUCAGUUUUCGUGUAAGGAAAUGAAAAUCUUAGGACUUGCUAGGAAAAACAUGGCGGUCUGGCUUCAGUGAAAUAUUUUUGCUAGAAAAUGUCGACUAACUUACCUACCUUUUAAUUCUUAUACUCUUUUCGUCCCAUUGAAAGUGUUAUACUUUUAUUUUAGAAUGUCUCAAAAUAUUUGUUCUGUUAAUAAAGUCAAAAUAUAUUUUAGUCUCUCUCUUCAACAUAGUUCAUCUCUCUAAUCAUAUACACGUUACCAUUCAAAUUCAAAUGUUGAAUUUGUAGGAAUAAAAUUGAAAAGAGAAGCACAAACAUCACAAUCAAACCACUAUUUUUAAAAAGUUUGAUUUUUGAAACAGAACCAAAUAAUUAGGACGGAAGGAGUAUAAACUAAAAUGAAAAAGGAAGUCUAGUGAUAAUUGAACCGUCAAAUAUCAUAAACCUUUUCAUAAAAUUGCUGGCUGAUCAGUAUAGCAAGUAGAUGAUGAUGCUUGUGUAGUUGCUAUCAUCCUUAGGUAUGAAAUUUUUCAUGAAGACCCCUUAGUAAUAAGUUUCUGAAUAGCUUCCCACAAAAGUUUCCGGGAGGUAAAUUAACAAUCUUUUGCAUUACUUUGGCCCCGGAGACAUGACAAUAAUAUCUUAGACGAAAGAACUUAGCCCCGACAAAUAUCAUGAACUUAUUGACAAUAGGUGGCUUAAUUUGUAAGAAAUAAAAAAUUAUUUAAAAAUAAGAAAAAAAAAUUAUUUAACGAAAUGCAAGUAACAUCUUGAACGAUUUUUCCUUAUUAACUCACAAAGUUAAGUUCCACUGUGGUACUUGCCAAUGGAACAAAGUUGACAGCAAAUCUUGUUGGUUGAAUGAGUCUCCUGACACAGCGUAUUAAGCAAUAAGCAUUCAUUGGUAUACCCAAACCUAUUACUCUGUAUAAGUGUACGUAUCAUAUUCACCCGUACCGUACGUCUCUUUCUACAUUUAGACACUCCCAUAUUUCUAUAUUAAUUUCACUUUUGCUAAAGGAUUACUGGGUAAAGUGUAAAGCACGGCAAGAAAUGGUUAAACUUCUUUCUCAAUUGUGAUUUGUGGGACUGUUUAACUGUCAAAAUUAAUGUGAAAACGUAUGAGAAAGUAGAAUCCUCGAAAUCCUUUAUUUUUUCAAAAUUUAGUUUUUUAAAUACUAAAAAUUUUUAAAAAUACUCUAAAAAGUAAUCUAAAUUUUUUUAAUGUUUAAAAAAUAUUCCAAAAUAUAUUUUAAAAACUCUACUACUCUUAAAUAUUUCAAAAUAUUUUCUAAAAAUAUUUCAAAAUAUACUCUAAAAACUCUGCUACAGUAAAGUUUUCAAAAAAUAUCUCAAAAAACAGCUAAUCCAAACGGAGUAAUUGAUAAACCCUAAGACAUUUAGAUGGUGAAGAAAAAGUAAAAUUAACACCACUCUUUUAACUGUUGGAAUACUUUCAAGGUACUAAAUUAUACCUUCUUAGUACCACUCGAAAGAAAGAAAAACAAGCCUUGGAAAGAAAUAGUAUCUAGAAUAAAUCUACUGCACAAUUUGGGAAUUAUUCAUCAUUCGAUCAAGUGAUGAAUAAAUCAUACGCAAGUUCAUGUAUUAGCAGAUUAAUUAUUGAAUCUAUUCAUAAAUCAGAGGAUUGCGACACAAGGAAACUUGCAGAAUUGGACAACUAUAUGGUCCCGAAGAAAAGAAAUUGACUUGCUUCAAGAUUUCCACAAACUUGGAGCGGGGGGCGAGUGGUGACGGACGACUAAGGAACUCAAGAAAGUUAAAAUAGCCAAUUACGCAAAGUUUUGGAUCCAUUAGUUGAUUGACUGACUUCUAUUGCUAGCCGGUCAAUGCCCCCUUUUAUAAAUCAACAAGAACUUUUCCAUGGAAAAUGUGUCUCUCAUUUUGGCCAAAAUUUCCGAAUCAAUACCUUCAGUCUCCGGUCAAAUGAAGUCGUAACUUGAUAAGCUUACAAGACUUUCGUUUUCCUUCUAGAAAAAAAAAAAGAAUAAAAUAAUUCCCUUGCCCUUCAACAACCUCAACAAUAAGGUUCACUAUGAGAGAAAUUUUUUUUCCAUCUAACACACUUACGUUACUCCUAAUUCAUUGCAUAAAUACGUACAAUCACAGUUAUUGAACUUAGUAUAUUUUAGUAAUUUUUUAAAUUAAUUAUCUUAUUUUUAAAAAAUUAAUACCUGAGACUCUUAUUAACGAGUGUCGACUGAAUACCUGAUAUCAAACCGAUCGAUGCUGUAGAUAGAGAAUGGUUGUUUGCAUGGAAACCAAAUCUUUUUUUUUUUUUUUUUAUUUGCUCCUUCCCCUCUUAUACAACCACCAUAUGUAGAAAGUUGAGUUCUUGGAAUCCUCCAGUGACACAGGUAUGCUGGUAAGCAAAGCACUUGAAUAUCUUCCAGAAGAAAGAUAUGUCGCGCAGCCUUAAUUGACGAAGUAAUCUCGUCAACUUUUUUUUUAAAAAUUUUGUACUGUAUAGAAAUUCCCCGGAGUUGGAGGGGCAGUUGCUUCUAAUCAAAAUAUGCUUCACACUUCACGCCACACGCACACGGUUAGGACCAGAAGUCUCAUAUGCCCUUUUCGGUGCAUUUCGUCUAAAUUCUUUUGUAGCGUGAGAAUUUAUUUAUUUAUUUAUUUUUUAAAAAUGGCUACCUAUUUUUAUUGCUUAAUUAACGAUGCUUUCGGUGCGUUUGAGUUUUCAAGAAAAUGAAUUUGAAGAGUAACAAACAUUAAGAUUAUUUGAAAUAUAUUAUUUUUUUUAAAAAUACUGUAUGAGAUAAAAAGUUGAUGCACUGACAGUAUAUACACUUUUAUCAUUAUUAGAUGCAUGACACAUAAUUUGAAUUUAAAUUUGAAACUCAAAUUUUGCAUAUGUGUCGUAUAUCCAACCGUAAUAGUGUAUACAUCGUUAGUAUACAUAAGAUUUACUCUUUGAAGUUUUAAUCUAUCCUUUGGUUUCCCAUUCUCGUGACAAAAGCACAGCUGCGCGAAUCAGUAAAAUUGGACGUAGUAAUUUGCUGUAAUGUGCAAAACCGAACUUACCUCCAUUUAGGGUUCUUGUCUAUAGAUUGACCAUGUGGUUCGGCAACACUUUUAGUGCAAAAAUUUUCAGCAUGCAACAGUCGUCCAUAGCUUAAGUGAGUUAGGCGCAGCACAUUGUUUGGCCCCGUUCCAUAUGACUUCAUUUCGUUGCCAACUUUUCUUGGAGGACUGGAAUCUCAUUAAAUAGAUCCAGCACGAUUGGUCCACGACAAUUAUUUGGUUCUGCUUUGCUGUCGUGAACUUGUGCAUUGAUUCUGUGCUUUAAUUUCUCUUGAUUUGUAGAAAAUUUGCUAGUUUUUAACUGCAAGAUUUUGUUACUCCGAAGAUUUUUAAUUUUUAUGCAGGAAAAAAAAACGCACUUCCAAACUCUGGGUACAAUAUUUGAAAAAAAAAAAGGGUAGAUGACAGGUAAGCUAAGUAGUGGUUUAGUGCCACUAUUGAAAUGUAAAAACCUCCAACCCUACACUUUUCCGACCCAUGCACCGCUCCCCGUGCCCGAACCCAAGAAGAUUUGUACAAGAAAACAGAAAAACUUUGGUGGGGUCUUGCUCGCACUAAUUUGUCACGAUUAAAUGUAUUCUUGUUUAAAAAAUUCAUGCAGAUGUGUAGUGCAUUCGUCUGAUCUGGUGGUGAUUUAAUCCUCUUCGAAUUAUUCUUGAACCUCUUCAGGUCCUAUUCCUCCUCCAUACUAUAGGAAGUUAUCGUAUCGAAAAAAAAAAAACAGAAAAAUCUCAACUCAUUAGCCUUAUUUAAUUUGAUUUGAAGCAUAAUUUUCUUGAAGAAGAGGGGCCGGGCCACACUGAUUGUAUUAGAGCAUCCACAAUGCUAUUACACUUUGUGGAGUGUAAUCCACAUGCCACGUCAGCAUUCCACUUUCUCCUCUUUUAUUACACUUUCACUCACAAUGGAUUACACUCCACAAGGUGUAAUAGCAUGGGUCCACAAUUAAUCAAAUAUUUAUUUUAAUAAUGCAUAACUCAUAUCCCAUAAAUAAAUAAAGUAAUUUUUAAAACUAAUUUUGUUAUUUUUAAAAAAUAAAGUACUAACUUUCGUUAAAUUUUGUACAUUUUGAAUUUUUUUAUUUUCUAAAAAUGAUAUUAUUAAUUUUUAAGUUUGAAUAAUAUAUCUUUUUCUAUGUUUCAAAAAUAAUAUAUUGUUAUUUUUUAAAAAAUAAUUAUGUAGGAAAUUAAACAAAUAUUUGAUACUUCAAAUGCGAAGAUAUCAUAAUAAUUCAUACUUAAUUAAUAAUUCGGAAUGUAAUUAGUUGAACUCCAUAACAUAAUAUUACAUAAGUUAAAUCAAAUAAAAUACAAAUAAUAACAAAAUGAAUACUAAUUUUCAUUGUCAUUGCCUUCGAAUCGUUCCCAAAUAUGCUCGACCAAGUCUGAUCGAAGUUGAUCGAAGUCUGAUCCCAAAUAUGCUUUGUGCUGGAAUUUUAUCGUUGUCAUAGGGCCCACAUUCAAUGGAUUACACGCAUCAUACAUGUGAUGCGUGUAAUCUCCAUGACACGGCUCCAGCGGUGUAAUGGCUCCCCGUUACUGAUUACACCCCCAUUGGAGCUGCCCUUAUGUAUAGUAUAGCUCGUAAUGGUUUUAAUCUACUCAUAACAAAUUCACUCUCCCAAACUCAAAAGUCAUCUUUGUAUAUAGAAUUUAGCCAACGAUUAUAAUUGCACAUUUUAAUAGGAAGUUUCAUAGGCUGGCUGUCAAUUGCAACCUUACAAGAAAACGAGAUGAAGACCACUCAGAGUCACAAGUCCAACAAUAAAUCCACUAACUCUCAUUAAUUAAACCCCAUCCAUCAUUCAAUCCCAAAUAAACCAGCAAGAAAUCCGCAACUAUCCAUGGAAGCCUUGUGUCUCUACCUUCCACUUUUCCUAGCAUUAUACAUCUUCACCAAGCACUUCCUCAACAAAAUCCGAAACCUUCCACCUAGUCCCAUCCUUAAUCUCCCCGUCCUCGGCCACCUCCUCCUCAUCAAGAAGCCUCUUCACCGAGGCCUAGCCAAGAUUUCCAACCGUCAUGGCCCGGUCCUCCUCCUGGAAUUCGGCUCACGCCCAGUCCUCCUUGUCUCCUCC
rnacentral:lncRNA from 1 species